GUCUACAGCCAUACCACCAUGAACACACCCAAUCUCGUCUGAUCUCGGAAGCUAAGCAGGGUCAGACCUGGUUAGUACUUGGAUGGGAGAACUGAAAAAUGAAAACC
rnacentral:rRNA from 1 species